AGAGGAGAAGGAAAUGACUAGAUCACAAGGGGAGACUUAGAGUACUAAGUAAUUCCAUGAAACGAAACAAUAUCCAUAUCAUAGGAGUUCCAGAAGAAGAACAAGAGAGAAUGGGA